rnacentral:rRNA from 1 species
GAUGAACGCUGGCGGCGUGCCUAAUACAUGCAAGUCGAGCGAACGGACGAGAAGCUUGCUUCUCUGAUGUUAGCGGCGGACGGGUGAGUAACACGUGGAUAACCUACCUAUAAGACUGGGAUAACUUCGGGAAACCGGAGCUAAUACCGGUUGAUAUUUUGAACCGCAUGGUUCAAAAGUGAAAGACGGUCUUGCUGUCACUUAUAGAUGGAUCCGCGCUGCAUUAGCUAGUUGGUAAGGUAACGGCUUACCAAGGCAACGAUGCAUAGCCGACCUGAGAGGGUGAUCGGCCACACUGGAACUGAGACACGGUCCAGACUCCUACGGGAGGCAGCAGUAGGGAAUCUUCCGCAAUGGGCGAAAGCCAGACGGAGCAACGCCGCGUGAGUGAUGAAGGUCUUCGGAUCGUAAAACUCUGUUAUUAGGGAAGAACAUAUGUGUAAGUAACUGUGCACAUCUUGACGGUACCUAAUCAGAAAGCCACGGCUAACUACGUG